rnacentral:rRNA from 1 species
CGACCGGCGCACGGGUGAGUAACGCGUAUGCAACCUGCCUGAUACCGGGGUAUAGCCCAUGGAAACGUGGAUUAACACCCCAUAGUACUUUUAUCCUGCAUGGGAUGUGAGUUAAAUGUUCAAGGUAUCGGAUGGGCAUGCGUCCUAUUAGUUAGUUGGCGGGGUAACAGCCCACCAAGACGAUGAUAGGUAGGGGUUCUGAGAGGAAGGUCCCCCACAUUGGUACUGAGACACGGACCAA